GACUACAAGGUUGAUAGGCACGGUGUGGAAGCGCAGUAAUGUGUGAAGCUAACGUGUACUAAUUGCCCGUGAGGCUUGACCAUAUAACACCCAAAAGGGUU
rnacentral:rRNA from 1 species